UACGUAGGGUGCGAGCGUUGUCCGGAAUUAUUGGGCGUAAAGAGCUCGUAGGCGGUGUGUCACGUCGGCCGUGAAAACCUGCAGCUUAACUGUGGGCGUGCGGUCGAUACGGGCAUCACUGGAGUUCGGCAGGGGAGACUGGAAUUCCUGGUGUAGCGGUGAAAUGCGCAGAUAUCAGGAAGAACACCCGUGGCGAAAGCGGCUCUCUGGGCCGUAACUGACGCUGAGGAGCGAAAGCGUGGGGAGCGAACAGG
rnacentral:rRNA from 1 species